CGUGGAUAACGGCGGUUGACGGACGUUACUGCUCGAGAAGAGUGGAAUUGGUGAUUGAACCAAGUGAAUGAAUGAGGCGCGAACGUACAAAUAGUGAUGCCAUUUUGGCCAAUUCAUCAGAGGCUUAACCACAUGAGGCAUUUCUGUUGUAACUGUGUUUAGCUUUUUCAGUUGGAAGAGACCGCUUGAAAAGCUUUAUUCACGAGCUUACAUAGGAAAUUUUUCUUUAUUCUUCAAUGUAAGUAUAUAAAUUUUACAU
rnacentral:lncRNA from 1 species